rnacentral:lncRNA from 12 species
CACGGUUCCACAUCUCUGUGACACGGGGCAGCACACGCUGGUGGCCCUGUGGCCAUCACACCCUGGCUCCUGGGAGUCCCUGGAGCAGCCGGGUGGUCCUGGGGCCAGCAGAGCUCCUGCUGCUCCCAGCACCUGCAGCAGCCAGAGCCUGCUCAGGGCCGGGGCUGAGCCUGGGCACAGCCCUGCCUGGCACUCCUGGGGUUCUGCCCUGCUCUUCCCAGGACUUGGGGUUUCAAAAUUACACUCUGGGCACUUCUGAUGAUCUUUGGGACCUCAAGAGCAGGGCUUGCAACUUAGAAAUGAGGGGGUGUGACCAAACAAGGACCACAGGAAUUACACUGUGGACCCUUAAAAAGUGCCAGUGGCUGCUCUUCCCUCUCCAUUUCUGUGACACCAUAAAUACCUUCUGUCCCUGGAGGAGCCUGUGACACCCGGUUCACAAGGAAAUGCAUCCCCAUGGGCAUCACCUCAGUGUGGCCUCAAUUCUGUGAAAUUUGAGGCGUGUUGGACUAAAAAGAAAUGCUUCAAAAAGAGUCAAUGAAAUCAGCAGCA